rnacentral:lncRNA from 1 species
AUGGGUAUUAGAUACUACACCGAUUGGCUUUAGGCCAAGUGGGAGAUUGUUAGGAAUAGUGUUCCAAAGCCAAUCGUCAGUCUGUUGACGGUUGUGCUCAUUUUUAUAUUAGUAUAUGAAUUAUUGGGUAGAAAAUAUCACCCCAGUCGAAGUUCAUCCCAGGAGUGAUCCUCCCGGGACUCAGCCGACAUCCAACCUUGGGCGACAUAUUUUCGAACCUCUCCGACGGUCG